ensembl:lncRNA
GAAAAGUUUAACUGCUAAAGGUUCCGUUGCAAUAACAGAGGACAAAAUUGUAAAUUCUUUAUUGCAGCCACAUGGUGGCAUUAUUUCCAGUCGUACUGUAUGUCUCAUAAAACAGAAGCCUUGCCAGAUGAACAGAUUAACAGUGAAGAUGCUUGGGUUUCAUCCUGUAUAAACUCAAAUGACUGGUAUAAAAUCACCAGAAUCUAAAGUCAAGUGUACUGUCUGCAUCAGUCCAACUACUUGUCCUUAAAUAGCUACUGCAAUUAGUAAUGCUAAUUAAUUAGUGAAGCAAUAACAAAAACGUUCAGCAGAUGAUUUCUUUUUUCUUUUUUUUCUUUUUGCAGUGGCAAUAAAGAAAUGACAGACAAUUUCCUCAGAUUUCACUUGUGAGAAAUAUCACUGGUAAUUCUAAGAAGCAGCAGAGGAUCCCACAAUCCUUUGGGUGGAGCUUGAUGAGAAUGGUUACAGCAGAAGGCAGUCCUGUGUUUCUCCACAUCUCAUUUUGUAUAUGAUCUCCCACAGUCAUAAUGAUUUUGUUUUACCUUAAUGUUUUGGCAAUUCUAACAGAGAGUGUUUUUGCGAAUGCAAUUACACCCCUCUUUACUGAAAAGCAUGCUUUUGAAGGAGAAAAGGCGACUCUUUCAUGCAACUACAGUGGAAGUAACAUACAGGUUUUACAGUGGUACAGACAGUAUCCCAACACUGCCCCCGAAUUUCUCUUGCUAGCUUUUGAAAAUAUGGGUCCAAAGCAGAAGGACCGUCAUGUUGCUGAAGCUCAAAAGGACAAAAAACAUCUGAAUCUGGAGAUCUCCAAAAUUGAAGUAGCAGAUGCUGCUCUGUACUACUGUGCACUGGUGCCCACAGUAACAGAAAACCCUUCAGCACUGUACAAAAACCUGAGAUGAGGAGGAAUACACAGAAAGAAGAAAGAAAGAAAGAAAGAAAGAAAGAAAGAAGGGAAGGAAGAGGAAGAAAGAAAGAAAGAAAGAAAGAAAGAAAGAAAGAAAGAAAGAAAGAAAGAAAGAAAGAAAGAAAGAAAGAAAAUCUCCAUAGAUGUUGAAUUUUCUUUAUGGAACCAUCAAUGCCAAUAAAGAACCUUUAAAAUGUCCA